rnacentral:lncRNA from 10 species
GUAUUUUUUUUUUUUUUUGAGAGCCUUCUUGUCAGUACUCAGAAAGUUAGAAUUUUGUACCAUUUCGGACUUGGGGUUUUUGGAUUUGGACUAUUCAACCUGUACCAAUUUUGUACCUGCUACUAUCCUACAAUCUCAUGUCUCCUUCUCCCUUGUGUGGCCAGCAGACUGUCCAGCAGUGCAGGUGCUUGGGGGAAGGAGUUCAUCUACAAUCAAGCGGCUCAUGGCAAGGCUCAGAGUUACUUCACAUGUAUGCUGCCAAGUAGAAUAUUCCUUUUGAUGAAGCUCUUCUUACCCCGUCCUUUGUUAUCCAGAGAUUCUCCUGGUAUUUGCACAAAAAGAAACAAUACAGUGUGGAAGCUGCUGUCUACAUGGGUCACUGGAACUCGGCAGCCUUCAGGACAUUUUAGAAGAGAAACUACUAUGCAUGAGCAACUUUAUAGACCCAAACUGUGAUUGCAUUUAGAGUUGAAUGUACACAUUUUAUUUCAGGUACAAAAACAACAAAUAUAUCCAACCAAUAUAGAAGGGGAGUUUCAGAUUAAGCAUCUUUAUUUCUUAAAAAUAAAGCUAAGAAAAAUAACAAUUCUUUCUAAGGCUAUCUUUAGAAAUGUGCUUAUGAGUAUAAAUGAGAUUGAUAAAUAGAAAAUACAGAAGGCCGUUAAUUUGAACUGAGCUCCUGCACUAGGCCCCAACGUGCCAAACCAAAAUGCAGUCACUAAUGCUAAAGACCCACAUCACCAAAGCAAAACCAAGUUGUUUAUUUGACCUUCUGAGAAAUCAAGAGAUGAUAGUCAAAUCCCCAAAAAGGCCACUUUUAAACAGGCAUGAUAAGGAAUUCCCUCUGCUUUAGCUCUUACAAAGAAAAUGACCUGAAAUAAUCUGAUAUUAACCCACUUUUUGUUUUAUGAUGUGUCCUAGUUCUUGCUCAAGCUACCUUACGAAAGCCACCUGUCUGUCAUGCCCACUGUAGCAUCUCUCUAUUUUUAGAUGAGAUGCUACCUGAAUAAAAAAUCAAAGCCACCUAGGUCAUUUAAUUAAAUUUGUUAUAAUUUUGUCUUUUGACAAUAUCAUAUGAUGAAAAUAAGAAUAAAGUAUGUGGUGGCCUCAAAUGCUUUAGAAUUUUCCUAGUAAUAAAUGCAUAAGUUUAAUAGUUAUCAUUUUUGAGGAAGAGACUCUUUUUACUCUGCUACAAAUUCUUUGACCUUGAAAAUAAAGUCACCCUAUUGAAAGUAAUUUAAUCAACAAAUGUGUUGAACUACUUGGAAAUGAAUUUCUCCCUUUAAUUUGUGAAACAUUUCCCUUUUGCUAUUAAAUCUCAUAACAUGGCAUUUGCAUGAAAAUCAAUUGUAGCAUCUUAGAGGUGACUUUGAACAAGUCUCCAUUGAAUAACUCUGAAUGUGAGCUUCAGUGAGUAAUCCACAAAUGUUAUCUUCAUUACAAAGUACAUGCAAUUAUUUUUUAAGAUAGCAUUGCCCUUAAUUCUACAACAUUAUUUUAUUUUUGUAAGGCGAGGACAGUACCUUAAAAUUUUAAUGAACUUACCCAUACAAACAUUCUAGGAUAAUAACAGAUGGUGCCAGUAUUUUUACAUAAUCAGACCCAAGAUAGGAUAAACUAGUCAUGUGUAACCAACAGAUGUGUGCUUAUAACAAACAUACUUUGGAAACCGCUUCUUCUCUGCUAGAUGCACAUGGAUUAAAUAUUUGUAGACACUUGGCUUGAAUUUGUAAUGGUUCUCCGGACUAUAAUCAUGGUACAUAGAAUGUUUUUAAAUAACCUAAUCUUUGUUAAAUAUCAAACUUGCCUUUUUAUACAUUUAGCAGCUAUGUUCAACUUUGUACAAUAUUUAAGUAGUUGAAAUUGAAUAAGGUAAGAAAUAAGAUUCCAACCUAAAAUAGGCUGUCAGGAUCAUCCCCUUGCUUAUUGGGAAAUGUUAUCAAUGUUUGCUCAGUUGUCAACUUUGACCUUAAUCUAGCAGCAAUGGCAAAUCUGACAGGUACCCGAAACAAGCAAUUGCUUGACAUAUUAGGAAGCAUUUUAAUUUGACAGAAAGGAACAAAAAACAUUUUCUUUAAUAAUGUGAACUGUCAGAGAACACAGACCAACACUGACCCCUGAGGAUUCAUUGUUCAUUCAAGAUGGUUUAGGGCAGUGCUGGGUUCUGGCAGAGCUAUACUUCUAUAAGCCAACUACUCAGAUUUAAAUAAUAAAACUAGUAUGUUUGUGAGAAAAAAAAACAAAAAUAAAAACAAAAAACUAGUGUUGUCAUAUAAAAUGUUAGGGAAGUUGUUGCCUAGUAGAUUUCCUGAUGCCAUAUGUAUACCAAGCCUGCCAAUGCAAAGCCACUGGGAACCUAGACUCCUGAGACCACAGACAGGAGUGGCUAAUCCUAUAAAAGAGGACUAGCCCUCCACCCGCCCCCACACAUUGCCACACUGUGAACUGCUGGUUCUACAGAAAAAAAAAAAAAAAAAAACAGUUGCCAAGAAAAGGGCAGUCCCUUGCACUCCAGUCUUGAAGAGUGGUGCAUAAUUACCUAAACAUUCAGCUCAUCAUGAAGAAAACUAAGAAUCGUCUGACAUUGAAAAUCAAGAUCCUAAAAGAAUAAAUUUAUAUCUGAGUUUCAUUGUGAGACGCUAAAAGGAAAGAAAUUCAGGCUGAGUAACAUUCUAGCCACUGUAAUGAAGAAAUAUCAUUAGUUCCUUAAUGAGAAGGAACAGAAGACACAUAUUUGAAUAGACCUUAAAUCCUUUACAGUCCAUUGUACAAGUCUUUAUCACCAAUUGUCUGUAGUUUUCAUUGCAGAAUAGGUGUUCCAUCUCUACUUGUUUUUGUAAAAUUGGAAGUGAAAGAACUCUGCACAUUUCUGUAAGUACAGACAAAUAUUGGAUAAAAUAUGCCUCUCUCAUUAAUAAAAUCAACCUUGUAGCUCCCACCCUGGGCAAAUCAGUUAGAAAUUACCUUUUCAUUGUGGCUUCUGAGAUCUGUGCAGAUAGAGCGUCAUUCACUAGGCAAGUCAAGGUGCCAACUCUGUUUAUUUAUUCAUUUACUUGUUUUCAUCACAUUGUCAGUGAGCUAAAGAAUGUAGUGAGUAUUUUGUUAUGUUUUAAAGUACCCAGAAAUACAUAAAAUUGAUCAAAGUGUAUGCAAUUUUUUUAUAUCAUAAAGAAGGUAUUUAUGAACAAGGAGAAACUCAAAACAGUAUAUUCAAUAUUCAAACAGCAGUCCUAUUUUAAAAGACAGAUUGAAAAAGGAGAAGCAAAAAUAGUUAAAUAACUUCCCCUUUCAAAUAUAGUAAAUGAAUUAAAAGGAAAUAAUAAGAAAUCAUAAACAACAAAGUGAAAUACUGAUACUUUUACUGUCUUGAAGCAAGAAGGCUUUUCUAAGAAUAUCAAAAGGGAAACCAUAUGUAGGAGGUAGAAAAUUACCAUUAGCACAGUAUAAAGUUAGGUGACAACUUGUACGGGAUACAACACAUUUAACAAGAAUGGCAUCCUUAAUGGAAACGUUCUUACAACUCAUUUAGAGAAUAUACCCACCCCCCAAAAAACAGGCAAAAUUGUGAACAAGUAUUGCACUAAAAAAGCACACUUGGCUGAGAAAACUUACAAAAAUAAAUAUUCAAAUACCUUAGUAAUUGAAGAAUGCACCUUAAAGCAGCAGUGAAAUUCUGUUGAGGUACAACUAAAUCAAAUUAGCAAAUACACCUGAAAAAGAACAGAGUCAGCAUUGACAAAGAAAGGACAAUGGAUUCUCAGACACUGCUAAUGGCCUUGAAUAUUGGUCAAUUUUUCCAAGAGUUAUGUGGCACUGUGCACAAAAUUAACAUUUAAAGCUGCUUCUAGGCAUUUGUUUUAAGGUACUCUUGUAGCUACUAGUAGCUUAGUAAAUCUUGCUAUGUCCAGGCAAUUGAGUAAUUAGGAUUACCAGAAACAUUUAUAACAUCAUAAUAAUGGCUUUUUUUUCCCCUCAGGAACUAACAGUGAUUUUUAUUUUAUAUUUUUCCUUUCUCCAUUACUAUGAAUUUAUUUUAACAAAAUGACCUGGCAUUUUUAUGUGUAACAAUCCAAAGCUUCCUAUAGGUCUCACAUUUGGAAUCAGUUAAUAGUUAUGAUGCAUGGCUAUAAAACAGCCUUUGGAAGAGAUGUUUCAACUUUCUCAUAGUACAUCAUUAUCAUAAAGUGUAUGCACACAUCUUUGCACACAUAGUCACAUUCAGUUAUAUGUUAUACAGAGAAAAAUGGCUGUGAAAUGUACAAGACAAUUUUAGUUGGAGAUAUGUUUAAGUAGCAUUAAUUGGGUUUUUUCUGUCUACUUUUAAGUACUUUCUAACUUUAAAAAUAAAAAUGUUAUUCCUGACAAAUAUGUAUUAAAAUUAUGUUUAAUGUUGUACUAAUACACAUUUAAAGAUUAGUUUUAAAAAACAGACUAAAAUUUUUUUCGGUAC